UACGUAGGGUGCGAGCGUUGCCCGGAUUUAUUGGGCGUAAAGGGCGCGUAGGCGGUGAGAUGCGUCUGUUGUGAAAUCGCUCGGCUCAACUGGGCGGGGUCAGCGGAUACGGUCUCACUUGAGCAAGCUAGGGGGCAAUGGAAUUCCCGGUGUAGUGGUGGAAUGCGUAGAUAUCGGGAGGAACACCAGUGGCGAAGGCGGUUGCCUGGGGCUU
rnacentral:rRNA from 1 species